CAUUGCUUUUGGUGUUUUAGAUAUGAAGUCCUUGCCCAUGCCUAUGUCCUGAAUGGUAAUGCCUAGGUUUUCUUCUAGGGUUUUUAUGGUUUUAGGUCUGACAGGUAAGUCUUUAAUCCAUCUUGAAUUAAUUUUUGUAUAAGGUGUAAGGAAGGGAUCCAGUUUCAGCUUUCUACAUAUGGAUGGCCAGUUUUCCCAGCACCAUUUAUUAAAUAGGGAAUCCUUUCCCCAUUGCUUGUUUUAGCAUUCUCCCAUCUAUGUCUUAUCCUCAUUGACUCAUGAUAUCUUUGGGAACCAUUUAGCAGUUGAACCUCAAGUGACUGGACGCAGAACAGGUGAGCUGCCUAAGUUAGGAAACCAUCCCUGAAUGCUCAUCAUAGGUUAAGAGGAGAAAGUACAGGAGAGGUUGUUAGACUGCAGAAGGCAGGACUUUGUUGAUGAACACCUACUUGUAAGUGCAUGAGAUGGGUGCUUUCCUAUGUGCAGAGAGAUUUGCAGUGUCUAUAUGAAUGAUAGACAUACCAGUCCCUGACCCAUAUGAAACAUAAAGAAAAUAAUAAAUUCUACCACAAAUCAACCAAUAUUAAUUCAUUUUAACACAAAUCAACCAGUACCAAAAUAGAGCCAAGGAGUUGGAGGGGAUGAAGCAAAGAAGACAAAGUGCAAUCAAAUGCAUGCCCUAAUUCCUUCUUAUUACAUCAUUUUGACUAACUCUUUCUAACACUUUUGCAUUCACAUGAACACUCAUUGAACACCUACUUUGAGUUUGGCACCAUGACAAGAAAACAAACAAGUUAUGGACUUAGAAGAUAUAGACUUAUGGUGGAGACAGAGACAUGGAAUAAUAACCCAAAGUAGCUCAUCUUCCUAGAGGCCUAUUCUUCCUCUUCCUCCAGCCAUUGCCUGUUUGACAUGAGAUGUGUCCUUCGAUAAGUCAGUAGUGGAUUACCUCAAGGCAGGGGACAACUAAGGCUCCAAUAGAAAGGAUGAAUUGCAAGAAUGGGACAGAGAUCAUAUUCUCAAAAGGACUUUUUAAUAAAAACUCACUGAAAGCAAUUAAUUUUUCUUGAUGAUUUAAUUUUCUGCCUGGACAAAGCUGCUGUUUUAACUGUGUUUACAAAGCUUCUACUGCUGGCCAUGGCUUCUGGAAUUGGUCUCUGAUGGCUGGAUCUUUCACACUGGAGCCCUGGUUUUGAUUAUCCAAGAGAUGAAAGAAUCACUCCCUAAACCUUCCGUUGUCCACUACAGAGCUUCUCUUCCACCCCACCAUGCUGCCUUUCCUGUCAGGAUGACAACAGCAAAGACAGCAAUAAUAAAAGCUAAUGCUUACAUUAGUGCUUGUUAUGAACCCAAGGCUUCCCUAAGCAUUACAUCUAUGUUAACUCAUUAACGCCUACUCACAACCUCCUUUAUAACACCUAGGAAGCUGGGAAUAGUAACUUCUGGUCAGAGCUGUGACAGAGGCCAUUGUCAGACUGUAGAGAUUUUUGGUGCCAAAAAAUUCUUCUCAACAGGGGGCGAUUUGGCCAAUGUUUCGAAACAUUUUUGAUUGUCUCAACUGGGGGGAUGCUACUAGCUUCCAGUGCAUAGAGGCAAAAGAUGCCACACAACAUCUGGUAACCCUCCACAACAGUUAUCCAGCCCAAAAUGUCAUCAGUGCAGAGGUUGAGAAACCCUAGUGCCACAUGAUUUAAGUGCUUUUGCCCAAAUUGCCUAAAUUCAAAUCCUGCUUCUGCAGCUUACUAGCUGUGGAUCCUGGGCAAGUUGCUUAAGCUCUUUGUGUGUCCAUUUUCCCAUCUUUAAAAUGGGAAUGAAAAUAGUAAUAUUACGUCAUGGGGCUGGUGCAUGAUUAAAUGUAUUAAUGUAAGUAAAAUGUUUAGCGCAGUGUCUGGCAUGUGGUAAGGGCUCCAUAUUUUAGCUUUUAUUUUUAUUAUGUAGAGCCUUUCUGGCCUUAGGGAGACAGAUUUAGGCUUCUUUUUAGUCUUGAUAGAAGUCUUGAGAGGACAUUUUCAGUCCAUGCCAUCCCAGGGAAUAGUUUUUGUCCAUCUAAAUCCUAAAGAGAAUACUCUAUCUUAGCCCACUAGGAAGUUUAGGAAAAGUUAUCCUUGAUGUGUUUUAAUGCAAUGUCUCUUUGUCAUCUUUUUUUCUGCACCCUGUUUUACAAUAAAAAG
rnacentral:lncRNA from 10 species